GACAACAGCUGCUGUGCAGAGAGGAAGAGGAGGAGGAGGAAGAGGCGGAGGCAGUGCGUGUCUUCAGUCCACAGCAGUGUUCCUCGCUGCAGGAUCAAAUACUUCCUCCCAGCAGAACACACACAAGGGAUUCUUUUUUCUUUAAACCGCCGACAUUGCUGCUCGUCCUCACCCCGCCUCCCUUUUUUUUUUUACCCUUUGUCCUCCUCCUUUGUCCCCCCCCAGGCCCCCCACCCCCUCGUCCCCCCUCCCCAGCCCCCCCUCAGCCUCCCCUCAGCCCCUGCAUCCACCUCAGCGAGAGAAGGCGCCCUUGUCAUCCUACAGCCGGUGGCGGCUGCUGACGCUCGACCAGCGUGUGGAGCUGACAAGUUGAUGUGGUGAAGAGUCCUGCAGGAGUUCACACAAGCAAAGGUCGCCAGCCAUGGGGAACCUCAUCAAGGUCCUUGGCAAGGACUUGGAGAACUGUCCUCAUUUUUUCCUGGACUUUGAAA